UACAGAGGUCUCAAGCGUUGUUCGGAUUCAUUGGGCGUAAAGGGUGCGUAGGUGGCGCGUUAAGUCGGGUGUGAAAUCUCGGAGCUUAACUCCGAAACUGCAUUCGAUACUGCCGUGCUUGAGGACUGGAGAGGAGACUGGAAUUUACGGUGUAGCGGUGAAAUGCGUAGAUAUCGUAAGGAAGACCAGUGGCGAAGGCGGGUCUCUGGACAGUUCCUGACGCUGAGGCACGAAGGUCAGGGGAGCAAACGGG
rnacentral:rRNA from 1 species